UACAGAGGGGGCUAGCGUUGCUCGGAAUUACUGGGCGUAAAGCGCACGUAGGCGGUCUUUUAAGUCGGUGGUGAAAUCCUGGAGCUCAACUCCAGAACUGCCUUCGAUACUGGAAGACUUGAGUCCGGGAGAGGUGAGUGGAACUGCGAGUGUAGAGGUGAAAUUCGUAGAUAUUCGCAAGAACACCAGUGGCGAAGGCGGCUCACUGGCCCGGUACUGACGCUGAGGUGCGAAAGCGUGGGGAGCAAACAGG
rnacentral:rRNA from 1 species